GUAUCAUGGGUAUGUCUAAAGGAAGUGUUAAGCUUCUGGCGUUUCUCCCUAAUCCUCAAAGCAACGUUCUCAAAUCAGACUCCUCUCAUCGCAAAUGACUCAAGAAUGUUUGCUAUUUGAUCUUUCUGAGAGAACUUCUGAUCCAAUUUCAAUCUGGUAAAUAGAUAAGGAAAAUGAGACUCAUAGCCUCUCUUACUCAGCUUUAUACCCAUGGAGGCAGGAACCAAGACAGUUCUGCACAGCAGUCUAUCCCCAGAGUCUGACCCCUGGCUGGCACAUAAGCAUCGUACUAGCUUUUUGGAACUGACAAACACUAAUCAACACAACUAGAGUGCCUGGUGCUAUGCUAGGAGGUGAUAGAAGAAUAAGACAAAAGACCUGCCUUCAAGUAGCUCAUAAUGGAGAAGACAGCUGUGCAUACAAUGUGACAUGAUGGAUGGUGUGGUUGGGACAUAUAUGUGGCACUGGUGAUGGGUGCCAGGAGUACAGGCCCAGUGCUCAGGUCAUCAGAGGGCCUGGUGGGCCUCCAGAACAUCAGAAACCAAAGUGAUUUUUUUCAGAGCCAAAGGGUGAACCAGGUAGGACAUAAGGAUAUUGACAGACAUUGAUAAAAAUAGAUCAAUGGAUAGGCCUUGACAUCCAACAACCUUCCCCCCUUCACACCCACUUCUCCAUGUUAACCCUUCCUCAGCUCAGGUCUUCAGGAAGGCCAACCCAAAGCUUUGCUCCUGCCCCUGACAAAAUAGAUCAGGAAAGCUUUGGUGGUCCAAAGCUAACCACCUAGAAACUGUGCCCCUUGGGUGGCCUCCCUCCUUGUCCAGACAGGGCCACUUAUAGCUAUAGUUCAUUUGCACUUUAGGAUAGCCAGUGUCUAUUACCAUAUUCAAGGCUCUGAGAAGUCCUGCAGAAAAGGAAGCUGGAUCCUUUUGCUUAAUCCUGUGUCCUCCAGGCUCAUUUGUACACAGAAUACUAAUUAGGAUCUUCCUCUAUUUCUAAUGCUUUCUGAAUCUGUGCCCUCCACAAGAAGACCUAUGCCUGGUCAGGGCUAGCCAUAUUUUCCAAAGGGCUGCAUGAGGUGAGUCACAAAGCGCCCAACAUGAUUACCAGUAGUAUGUCUAAGUGAUUUUUAAUUUAAUGUCCAGGUACUGUCAGUCCUAAGAGCAAAAUGCAACUUGAUAAAAGACAGCUCUGAUGGGGACCACACAGGAAAGGCUGCUCAAGUUCAACAGAAUAGUGAGAAUAAACAAAGACCUAUUUGAAGGUUCAAGGAUUGAUGAUCUUAUUAGAUUUGGGGAGGAAAAUGGUGAAAUUCAUGUUUGAUU